rnacentral:lncRNA from 1 species
AGGAUUUAUUUAUUAAUUAGUCAAUAAUAUUAUUUACUCUUAAACCAAACAACAUACUUUAUGGGUGUUUCAUGGUAUUUAUACUAUAGAAAUAUUGGCAGAUAAUAUUUUAAUAGGAAUUCAAGCUCUUAGGCAAGGUCAACAGUUGCUCUUCUCACUAUCUAUGAAAAAUAAAAUUAAAAAUAAUACUCUGUUUUUAAUGAUGUUUUUUUAAAGCACAAGAAGUUAGUCAUCAACAUUCUUAUUGCAACAGCAUCCUAAAUGUCAUGUGGUUACAAUAGGAAUGAAAACCACUUUGCAGAUUGCCAAUAAAGACAUACCAAGACUGAGGAAUUUACAAAAGAAAAUGUUUAUUGAACAUGAUUGUGAGGCUUUCUCACCCACAUGGUGUCAGACAAGAGAAGAAGGCUUUGGCAGGGAAACACCUGUUUUUAAAACUAUUAGAUUGCCGGGCAUGAUGGCUCAUGCCUGUAAUCCCAGCACUUUGGGAGGCCAAGGUGAGUGGAUCACCUGAGGUCAGGAGUUUGAUACCAGCCUGACCAACAAGGUGAAACCCUAUCUCUACUAAAAAUACAAAAAUUACCCAGUCAUAGUGUCAUGCACCUGUAAUCUCAGCUACUCGAGAGACUGAGACAGGAGAAUCACUUGAACCUGGAAGAUGGAGUUUGCAGUGAGCUGAAAUUACACCAUUGCACUCCAGCCUGGGUGACAGAGCAAGACACUCCAUCUCAAAAAAAAAGAAAACAAAAAAACAUCAGAUCUUGUGAGACUUAUUCACUAUCAAGAGAACAGCAUGAUAAAGACCUACCUCCACGUUUGAAUUACCUUCCACCAAGUUCCUCCCACAAUACAUGGGAAUUCAAGAUGAGAUUUGGGUGGGGCCACAGACAAAUCAUAUCACUAGAUUAGCACUUUUAAUUUCCUUCAAGAACUUAUUGUUUUCCAUCACAACUUAGCUGUUUAGCACAAGAGACCUAGCUUUCAGCCUAUCUCAGCUUUUGACACAACUUCCUCACUAAGCUUAAUCAUUUCUAGCUUCUGAUUCAAAGUGAGAGGUGUACAACUAUUCCUUUCACUUGAACUCUUAGAGGCCAUUGUAAGGUUAUUUAUUGGCCUAAUUUCAAUUUAGUUGUGUCUCAGAGAACAGGAGGGUUUCAAGAGAGAGAGAAAGACGAGAAUGACUCUUUGGUGGAGCUUCAGAACACACACAAUAUUAAUCAGUUAAAUAUUCAUUUUAUAUGGGCACAAUUCAUAAUACACCCCAAAAGUUAGAAUAGUAACACCAAAGAUCAUGAAUAAUCAACAUAGCAGAUAUAAUAAUAAUAAAAAUGUUUGAAAUGUUGUGAAAAUUACAAAAAUGUGACAUAGAGACACAAAGUGAUCAUAUGCUGUUAGAAAAAAAUGGCUCUGAUUGAAUUGUUUCACACAGGGUUGCCAUAAACCUUUCACUUUCUAAAAUAUGCAAUAUUUGCAAAGUAAAACAAAAAGAAGCUCAAUAAAACAAGUAUGUUUGUCAUUACCUUAUUAAGCAGAACCUUUUGUUUAAUCCCCAAUAUGUUCUUAAAUCUUACAUAGUGUCUAUAUUGCUCUCUUUGUGUUCUAUUAAUCUUGCUUAUGUGGUAUGGCAUGCCCUGCAUAGUAUGUCAUAAAUAUUUAUUUUCAGCCUAGAUAUCUGUUGUUAGAAUUGUCAUUAUUGCAUAGAAUAUAGAAUAGGAACCUGAGCAAGAGAUCGCAUGACGGGGCAAACUAUCAGGAAAGAUUAAAGACAGUCUCAAGCUCCUCACAACUCCUGAAUGAUAGGAAAGAACAUAUCAUUAUCCCCAGUAGGCCACUGUUUAUAUUCCCCAAAGUUCUGCGGGUACGUAGUGGUUCCAAAGCUAUUGGAGAGCAUGGCACAGCUUCAUUUGUAUCAGAUGAAAAUGGACAUAUGUGGCCAAUUGGAUAUAAGAAAGAUGUGGUAAAAACUCUUGGGAGUUCUCAUAUACAUACAGAAUUGCUGAGAAUAAGGGCUGUUACAAUUGGAUUUGUCAUGUUUUGCCCAUGUAAGGCCUCCUGACUUUAAGCUAGAUUGACCAUAGAAUUUUGCAGAAAGAGUAAAAUAUAGGAUAGGUAUGAAAACUUCUGACUCAACAAAGACAUGGACAGCCAUAUUGGCAGAUAUUUUACCCAAUUCUAUCCCAUUUUUCAUUCUGAGCAGGCCAGCAACAUGGUCACGAGAGGUAGAGAAAAAGUCAGCAAGCAGAUUGCUGUGGGCUGGGAGCACUGCCCAAGUCAUGAAAGGGUGUUUUAAUGAACAGAAAUGGAGAAUAAUGGUAAAUUCUCCAUCCCUGUAAAAUGUCUAUUAAAAAAUGAUUAAUUGGUAAAUCAUUUUGACAAAGGUGGGAUAAAAUAUGUUAAAUGAGUGAGGUUUUAAUAGUCAUUUUAAAUUCAAUUUAUUGGGAAGUUCUGAGAUAGCAAAAAUUCUUAACUGGUAUAUUUAAAAUUUGACAUUAUAUCUUUUAAUGUCAACUUAGUUCAGAAAUUUGGGAGCUUUGGAAUAAAAAUGUGAUUAGUUAUUAUUAAAUGUGAGGAUAUUUUUGUUUAUGCAAGGCUAUUAUUUUCAUUACACUGGAAAUACAUGUAAAUCACAUCAUUUAUAUAAUGCAUAAGACAUACAUCAUAAUACUUAAAUAAGAUGAUUCAAAUAUUGUCUUGUCCAGAGUUCCCCAAUAGCAAUUCUUAGAAAACAAAAUACAAGGUAAGAGUUUUUCUAAAAUCUGGCUCAUGCUGUGGUAAACACAAAUUAAGCAUGCUCUUUUAUUACAGCAAUGUUUUUUUAUAGUGGCAAUGUGUGAAUUAUCAACCUCCAAGAUAAUCCUAGACUCCAUUCCAAAACACAACAUAUUUUUAUAGAUUAUUAUAUAUACCAAUGAUUGUGAUACAUUCAAUUUUAUAAAUUCUUAUUUACUUAUAUUUCUAAUUUUUCCACUAGGGAAUCCAAUGAAAUAAUAAAUUAAAUAAAUAAAUAAAUAAAAUGGAACAGAAAAAUAUUUGGAAAAAGACAAGAAUUUAACCUUAAUUAUGUCACACUGUUAACCUCACUACAGUUCUCACAUCACCUCUUUUAAUUUACCAUGGUGUUCUAGAAAAAAAUUUGGAUGCCUUUUCAGCUAACUUUUUAACAAAAUCAAAGUAUAGAUUUCUCCUUUAAUUAAGCUCACUACCAGUCUCCUGUUUGCAUGUUAUAUAAAAUAAUUCUACUCAUCUUUACUUUUUUUAAACUUAAAAAUGAAAUUUUGCUUUUCUCAUAACUGGGUGCUGAUAUUAUAAUUUCACAAACUUAAGUUAUCUAAUUAUGAAAUAAGUGUUAUAAUUACAUUUUAUUCUUUAUUCAAAGAAGCAUUUUCAAAGUUUUCCUGUUGAACAUCAUUUAUAUUAGAAUUUUAAAAACAUAGAUCUUACCUGAAACCCAGGUUAGCAAGACUGUAUAUUCCAUUUAAACUGGAGUUACCUGCAUGUUACUGUACUUUAUGCCAAAGUAUCAGAUUCCUUGAUAUCACCCAUAACAAUGAAGUAGAGGCAAACAUCUUUACAUAUUCCCUUAUCCCUUAUUUACCAAACAUACCACUGUUAUACUUCUGUCAUUGAGUUAACAUUUGCAUCUAGAUAAAUGAUAUUGAUGUGCAUGUAUAUUACUUGAUAUAUAAAAUUAAUUUCACUAAAGGAAAAGUGCAUUCUAAUACACUGCAGUAAAGAAUAUUUCACAGAGUAUAACUUGACCUAGAAUAACUGGCAAAACAAUUAUUCUCUAAAAUGUCAGCCUUGGAAUUACAGGUAUAAUAGGUAAAGUUUAUAAAAAAUAAAUAAUUGUAAAAAGGGCAUAAUAACUACUUUGGAAUAAUUAGUAAAUUCAUUUUUUUAAACCUGUAUUUAUUAAGUGCUUAUAAUGGGUCACACAAGGUGCUGAAGAUACUGGGUUAAGAAAAUAGUAUCUCUCCUUAAAUUACUAUUAAUAUUAUUAUUAAUUUUUUUUUUUGAGAUAACGUCUUGCUCUAUUGCCCAGGCUGGUGUGCAGUUGUGUGAUUAUACUUACUGUAACCUCCAACUCCUGGUUUCAGGCUACCCUCUCAUCUUGGCCUCAGCAUUGGGAUUACAGAAAUGAACCACUAUACCCGGCCCUCAUAUUGUUUGUAGAUAAGAUAGACCUAUGCCCUGUUUUCCCAGUAAGCUACAUAUCUAUCUGUCCUUUAAAAUCAAAUUUAUGAAUACAAAAGUUAGCCCUGGAUGGUGGUGCGUGCCUGCAAUGCCAGCUACUCAGAAGACUGAGGUAGAAGAAUCCCUGGAACCUGGGAGGCAGAUGUUCCAGUGAACCGAGAUCAUGCCACUCUGACCUGGGUGACAGAGCAAGACUCCAUCUCAAAAAACAAAACAAACAAACAACAACAGUAACAACAACAACAACAAAAUUUAUGAUGAUUCCUUUUACUCUCAAAUGGACCAUAGCAUGUAUGAUCAGUUAUAUGACUACUCCAUUUACAAACUAUUGUUACAGAGUGUAUAUUUCUUAUACGGUAUAAAGAAAUAUUGAAAUAGCUUGAAUUUUAUCCUACUUGCAACCAUUAAAGGAACUUUAAAAAAAAAUCUCAUUGAAAACUGAAUAAAUACCUGACCACCUAUCAAAAGAAUCAAUCUUAUGUCACAGAAAUCAGUACAUUAAUUCUAUCCAGUAGUGUUAAAUCC